AGAGUUUGAUCCUGGCUCAGGAUGAACGCUAGCUACAGGCUUAACACAUGCAAGUCGCGGGGCAGCAUGGUCUUAGCUUGCUAAGACUGAUGGCGACCGGCGCACGGGUGAGUAACGCGUAUCCAACCUUCCCCUUAGUAGGGCAUAGCCCGGCGAAAGUCGGAUUAAUACCCUAUGUUUUCCAAUGCAGACAUCUAAAAUGGAACAAAGAUUCAUCGCUAAGGGAUGGGGAUGCGUCUGAUUAGGUAGUCGGCGGGGUAACGGCCCACCAAGGCAACGAUCAGUAGGGGUUCUGAGAGGAAGGUCCCCCACAUUGGUACUGAGCCAUGAUCAAACUC
rnacentral:rRNA from 1 species